rnacentral:ncRNA from 1 species
GAAAGCCGUGUGCGGGAAAACCGCAUGCACGGUUUGAUGAGGGGAAGGAGGAAGAAAUUCCUCCGACCUACUCUAC